GACGAACGCUGGCGGCGUGCCUAAUACAUGCAAGUCGAGCGGACGGAUGGGAGCUUGCUCCCAGACCGUCAGCGGCGGACGGGUGAGUAACACGUGGGCAACCUGCCUGUAAGACUGGGAUAACUCCGGGAAACCGGGUCUAAUACCGGAUAACUCUUUCCCUCACAUGAGGGAAAGCUGAAAGAUGGCAUCUCGCUAUCACUUACAGGUGGGCCCGCGGGGCAUUAGCUAGUUGGUGAGGUAACGGCUAACCAAGGCGACGAUGCGUAGCCGACCUGAGAGGGUGAGCGGCCACACUGGGACUGAGAGACGGCCCAGACUCCUACGGGAGGCAGCAGUAGGGAAUCUUCCGCAAUGGACGAAAGUAUGACGGAGCAACGCCGCGUGAGUGAUGAAGGUUUUCGGAUCGUAAAACUCUGUUGUCAGGGAAGAACAAGUACCGGAGUAACUGCCGGUACCUUGACGGUACCUGAACAGAAAGCCACGGCUAACUACGUG
rnacentral:rRNA from 1 species